UGUUAUACCGCCUAUAUACCGCCGUCGUCAGCCUACCCUGUGAAGGACUAGAAGUGAGCAAGAUUGGUAAAACCCAAAACGUCAGGUCGAGGUGUAGUGUAUGAGAGGGGAAGAAAUGGGCUACAUUUCCUAAAUCAGGAAACACGAAUAAUGAACUGAAAUGAGCAUUAGAAGGUGGAUUUAGCAGUAAGCAGUAAAACAGAGUGUUCUGCUGAAAUUUGGCAAUAAAGCACGCACAUAUCGCCCGUCACUCUCCCCGAGCUAAUACAAAAGCAAAUAUCUAAAAAACUACAUCUGCAAAGGGGAGGCAAGUCGUAACAUGGUAAGCGUACCGGAAGGUGCGCUUGGAACAAU
rnacentral:rRNA from 1 species